rnacentral:rRNA from 1 species
UGAGGAAUAUUGGACAAUGGGGGCAACCCUGAUCCAGCCAUGCCGCGUGAGUGAUGAAGGCCUUCGGGUUGUAAAGCUCUUUUAGAUGUGACGAUGAUGACGGUAACAUCAGAAAAAGCCCCGGCUAACUUCGUGCCAGCAGCCGCGGUAAUACGAAGGGGGCGAGCGUUGUUCGGAAUUACUGGGCUUAAAGCGUGCGUAGGCGGAUUUGUAAGUUAGAAGUGAAAGCCCUGGGCUCAACCCGGGAAUUGCUUUUAAGACUGCAAAUCUAGAAACCGGAAGAGGUUGAGGGAAUAUCCAGUGUAGAGGUGAAAUUCGCAGAUAUUGGAUAGAACACCAGUGGCGAAGGCGCUCAACUGGUCCGGUAUUGACGCUGAGGCACGAAAGCGUGGGUAGCAAA